rnacentral:antisense_RNA from 1 species
CUUUUCAUUCCCGUUGUCAUGGAGGGCCACAUCUGCCAGAGCCUGGAGUCUGCGAAGGCCGGGACCCGGUUCCCCGGCCCGCCGUGGGGAGUGUGCAAACCCGAGAGAACUGGAUUGCGUACCCACUGCAGAGGGCUGAAGACGGGGUAGCCACGAGUCAAGUCUUCACCACUUGCUGGUUCCCAGGAGUAAACUUGUGUGAACGAUGACCUAAUUGCUAUAUUCACCUAGGUUGCAAAUUCGUGAAGAAUCAGCAGCAUGUUUGGCAGCUGAGUAUUGGAGCCAGGAGCCUGCCAUGAGGUUUUGAGAACAGGGUGCUGUUUUAGAGCUGGCAGCAGCAUCUCAGCCCAAGAGAAGGUUAUAUUCCCAGAGGAUGUCAGUCCCAAGGACCAGUAGCUGCCAUCAGUUUGGAUUCUGAAAACUAACCGGCAUCAACAUUGGGUGUAGAAACAUGCUUGCCUUGUGUAUCAGAGGACAUGCUCAGCAGAUCCAAGAGAUAUAUUUGGCAACUUUUUCUAGAAAAGGCACAUUAGGUAUCAUUCAUUACAUUCUUGAGUUUUUUUGGGGUUUUUUUUUUUUUUGAGACAGUCUUGCUGUGUUGCC